rnacentral:rRNA from 1 species
CCUACGGGAGGCAGCAGUGAGGAAUAUUGGUCAAUGGACGCAAGUCUGAACCAGCCAUGCCGCGUGCAGGAAGACGGCUCUAUGAGUUGUAAACUGCUUUUGUACGAGGGUAAACGCAGAUACGCGUAUCUGUCUGAAAGUAUCAUACGAAUAAGGAUCGGCUAACUCCGUGCCAGCAGCCGCGGUAAUACGGAGGAUUCAAGCGUUAUCCGGAUUUAUUGGGUUUAAAGGGUGCGUAGGCGGACGGAUAAGUUAGAGGUGAAAUCCCGAGGCUCAACUUCGGAAUUGCCUCUGAUACUGUUCGGCUAGAGAGUAGUUGCGGUAGGCGGAAUGUAUGGUGUAGCGGUGAAAUGCUUAGAGAUCAUACAGAACACCGAUUGCGAAGGCAGCUUACUAAGCUACUUCUGACGCUGAGGCACGAAAGCGUGGGGAGCAAACAGGAUUAGAUACCCCAGUAGUC